rnacentral:ncRNA from 1 species
CCCCAGUAGUCCUAGCCGUAAACGAUGGAUACUAGGUGCUGUGCGACUCGACCCGUGCAGUGCUGUAGCUAACGCGUUAAGUAUCCCGCCUGGGGAGUACGUGUGCAAGAAUGAAACUCAAAGGAAUUGACGGGGGCCCGCACAAGCGGUGGAGNNUGUGGUUUAAUUCGAUGCAAAGCGAAGAACCUUACCAGGGCUUGACAUGCCGCGAAUCCUCUUGAAAGAGAGGGGUGCCCUCGGGAACGCGGACACAGGCGGUGC